rnacentral:rRNA from 1 species
ACACCGGCAGCUCAAGUGGUAGCCGCUUUUAUUGGGCCUAAAGCGUCCGUAGCCGGUCUGAUAAGUCUCUGGUGAAAUCCCGCAGCUUAACUGUGGGAAUUGCUGGAGAUACUAUCAUGACUCGAGGUCGGGAGAGGCUGGCGGUAAUCCCAGGGUCGGGGUGAAAUCCUGUAAUCCUGGGAGGACCACCUGUGGCGAAGGCGUCCAGCUGGAACGAACCUGACGGUGAGGGACGAAAGCCAGGGGCGCGAACCGGAUUAGAUACCCGGGUAGUCCUGGCCGUAAACGAUGUGGACUUGGUGUUGGGAUGGCUUCGAGCUGCCCCAGUGCCGAAGGGAAGCUGUUAAGUCCACCGCCUGGGAAGUACGGCCGCAAGGCUGAAACUUAAAGGAAUUGGCGGGG